rnacentral:rRNA from 1 species
CAGCAGCCGCGGGAAUACGUAGGUGGCAAGCGUUGUCCGGAAUUAUUGGGCGUAAAGCGCGCGCAGGCAGAUCAGUCAGUCUGUCUUAAAAGUUCGGGGCUUAACCCCGUGAUGGGAUGGAAACUGCUGAUCUAGAGUAUCGGAGAGGAAAGUGGAAUUCCUAGUGUAGCGGUGAAAUGCGUAGACACUAGGAAGAACACCAGUGGCGAAGGCGACUUUCUGGACGAAAACUGACGCUGAGGCGCGAAAGCCAGGGGAGCGAACGGGAUUAGAUACCCCCGUAGUCCCUGUCUCUUAUACA